rnacentral:tRNA from 1 species
GGAGGGCUGACCGGAAUGGUAUCGGCCCUGACUCGAAAUCAGGUUAGGUGGUGGCUUGCCAUCGCCGUCGGGGUUCAAGUCCCCGGCCCUCCGCCA